CGAAAGAUAGCUCCGGCCCUGCCAACUCAACUGCAGACCUGCUGAAACAAGGGGCAGCCUGCAAUGUGCUCUUCGUCAACUCUGUGGACAUGGAGUCACUCACUGGGCCACAGGCCAUCUCUAAAGCCACAUCUGAGACGUUGGCUGCAGACCCCACGCCAGCUGCCACCAUCGUUCACUUCAAAGUCUCUGCCCAGGGAAUCACUCUGACUGACAACCAGAGAAAGCUCUUUUUCAGACGCCACUACCCUCUCAACACUGUCACCUUCUGUGACCUGGAUCCACAGGAAAGAAAGUGGAUGAAAACAGAGGGUGGUGCCCCUGCUAAGUAAGUGUGACUUCUUACCCCUGCCCAGCAGGCUGGCCUUUGUACUUCACAGUGAGGGAAGCACGGGGCACAUUUAGAAACCAGGGCUGGGGGUAGGGAAAGAGCAGCAAAAACCUUUGUGCCAAGGUCACUCAGCUUCCGAGUGAAGCUUGACCAGGCUUCCAGGCCUUUUGCCUUGUCCUGCCUCGAGGCCAGAGGCCCAGCGUCUGGUCCAGCUGCCUUCACUCUCCCAGGGUUAGAAGCAGCAGGGAUGGCAGGAAGUGGACAGAAAACAGUCUUAUUAGAAGCAAUGGAAAUGGGUCAGAGAUUGCUUACAUGAUCUUUUCUGCCCCAAUUCUAGCUGCCUUUAUUUCUGCUCUUGCUUUUUUGGUGGGCUUUCCUGUGAGUCUUGUGGCCGAGCAAAUCAGCCUUAUCAGAAUGUGGGAGCCCAGAAAGUCUGAAUUCUGGGGAUGGCCCUGGGACCUUCGGGUGGAUUCCUCCAUCCAGCAGACAUGUCCUAGGGGCCUCCAAGGGACUCAGAUCCUGCCUGGGUCUCUGACCCUGCCCUCAGGAGGCCCAUUGGCACAGCAGAUAAGACAGAUGUCUAAAUAGCACUAAGAUGCUUCUGUGAUUUUCAAACUGUAUUCCAAGGAUCCUAGCAUCCUUGGAUUGUACCUGAUGUACAGAAGAGAGGGAAAGCUCUGCUGCUCCUUGCAGUUGUCUAUCAGCAGUAACUAGGGUUUUUUCACAAUCACAAAACCAAACAAAAUAUAGGCAUAACCUGGGGUCUGAAGCUGACAUGAGACUAUCACCAUGAUCUGUCAUCUACUUUUCACUUUGUCAGGAUUAUUCCAACAGCCCUAUUAUCCUCACUGAUUGACUUUAUAAUAGGCUCUUCGGCUUCGUGGCCCGGAAGCAGGGCAGCACCACGGACAACGCCUGCCACCUCUUUGCUGAGCUUGACCCCAACCAGCCGGCCUCUGCCAUCGUCAACUUCGUCUCCAAGGUCAUGCUGAAUGCCGGCCAAAAGAGAUGAACCCUGCCCCUUGCCCAGGGCCAGUGCCAUGGGGAAGGGGCUUGUGGGGAGGGGACCCAUGAAUCCUGACCACUCUUGAACCCAGAAGGAGGACUUUGGGCCAAUUUCGGAGGAGAGAAGAAAGUGCAACGUGGGGAGAGGGAAGUGAAUUGCAGAGGGGAGGGGGAAAAGAGAGAGAGAGAGAGAGAGAGAGAGAGAGAGAAAGAUGGAGGAGAAGAACUUGGAUUCCCCUGGGUAGAUGGAAACUGCAAAAACCCAAAGCCUCCAAAACUAACCAGGUCCACCUAACACCCCCUCCCUCCCCUAAGAAGAUGGAUGUCCUCAAAAGAGAAGGAACAAACCUCCUUGGGAAUCCACAUUUUUUGGGGGAAUGGAAAAGCUCUGUCUCCCUAACUCAACUGCUUUGCAAGGGGAAAUCAAGCUGGGAGAAUCUUUUUCUGGCCACCUGUGGGGUAGGUUGUCAAACCAAACAGAGCCACCGUGGGACAUCAAGUGGAAGAACUUGUUUGCUUGAAAGUAUCUCAGACCCAAGGCACCUCAGGUCUCUUUGCUGUGCCUCCACUAUAUUGUCGUGUGGGUGUGUGUCUGCACCC
rnacentral:lncRNA from 1 species